CACACACACACACACAUGGGGAACAUGCACAAGGUUAAAAGAUUUCUUUAAUAAUCAAACACACCUACAUGCUCACAGGAUAACAACCCCACCCAUCCAAACACACACACACACACACACACACACACACACACACACAAGGAAAUAAAGAGAAAAGGGGCAGAGCUUGGGAUCAGAACUUCAGGAGGUUCAGUGCUGCCUUUCAGAUGUCCUUCAGCAGUCCGUAACGAGAGUGCAGAACAAUCAUGAGUAGGAGAUUCGGCAGGACCACAUCGAAUCUGAACGGAAAUCAGAAUCAGAGGAAAGUGACUUUGAAAGUGAUUUGUUGCGCAGCUUUUUUCAUCCUCAUCGCCGUCGUCCUCAUCGUCGUCAUCAUCGCGACCCAUAAUCACUGGAUCUGACGACGAAGACGAAGACGAGACGAGCUUGCGGAUUUGAUUUCUCCUCGAGACGUGUCUUCAGACGUCGCACGCUCCCGCUCUUGAACACGCAUAAACAGCCGUGCGAUCGAGCUGCUUCCUGUGAAACACUAUUAGCGCAAAUGCUAACGACGAGCUAGGGACAAAGCUAGCACACGGUGUAGUGCGAACUCAUUUUAUUCUCAAUUUUUUCUUUUCUUCGUGAUUGAGACAUCAAGUCAUUCAUUUAGCUCAUGAUGCUACGGCGCACGCGACUGACAAAAAACGAUGAGGUUCGAGAUCUCCGCGCUGUCACGUUUCUCUCAGGAGCCAACACACGUGCAACUGAAGGGUCUUAGCAGCGAAACAAACAAUUACACUUGACAAUGUUCUCAAUGUUAUUUUAAAUAUCUGACGUUCAUGCUAUGCUUUUUUUAAACUGCAAGUGUUUAGCCUGGAAGUUGAUUUUAUCCGUUUGUUUUGCUGUGUCUUAAUUUAAACUGGUUAAUUGAAGUAAGAUUCUGAACAAAAGUGGCCUUUUUCUCAUGUUAAUGUCUUGAUGAAAUAAUAAUGAAAUUGUGCUUGAGAGUUUGUUCACACUGAAAUAACAUUUUAUUUCAAACAUGAAAAAACUGG
ensembl:lncRNA